rnacentral:rRNA from 1 species
CCUACGGGCGGCAGCAGUCGAGAAUUAUUCACAAUGGGGGAAACCCUGAUGGUGCGACGCCGCGUGAGGGAAUGAAGGUCUUCGGAUUGUAAACCCCUGUCAUGUGGGAGCAAAUUAAAAAGAUAGUACCACAAGAGGAAGAGACGGCUAACUCUGUGCCAGCAGCCGCGGUAAUACAGAGGUCUCAAGCGUUGUUCGGAAUCACUGGGCGUAAGGCGUGCGUAGGCUGUUUCGUAAGUCGUGUGUGAAAGGCGCGGGCUCAACCCGCGGACGGCACAUGAUACUGCGAGACUAGAGUAAUGGAGGGGGAACCGGAAUUCUCGGUGUAGCAGUGAAAUGCGUAGAUAUCGAGAGGAACACUCGUGGCGAAGGCGGGUUCCUGGACAUUAACUGACGCUGAGGCACGAAGGCCAGGGGAGCGAAAGGGAUUAGAUACCCCAGUAGUC